rnacentral:misc_RNA from 1 species
AAGUCGUAACAAGGUUUCCGUAGGUGAACCUGCGGAAGGAUCAUUAACACUUAUUAUUAUCCAAUAUCAAAAAUAAAACCAAACGGCAUCUUUUCUUCUCCCUAUUUCGACUACCGGAGACGGGUCGAUUAGGCUAACCUUUUUUUUUUAAAUUAUAACCCCAUUUAAUUUAUGUCUCUAUUUAUAUAGAUAUAAACAAAACCAACUCUUCUUUUGUUCAAGUGUGGUUUUACAUCACACAAACAACAAUAAGAACUAAACUAAAAUAUACAUUUGAUUAUAUUUUUAUUUUACGAAAUAAUAUAUAUUUAUAAGAACAACUCUUAGCAAUGGAUAUCUUGGUUCUC